rnacentral:snoRNA from 1 species
CUGCCACGAUGAACAUUUCAACACAUUGAAAGCUUAAUAAUGCUUGAUGGAACAUCGACUAUCAUGUCGAUCCUGAGCGGUUACCUGAGCAA